rnacentral:snoRNA from 1 species
UUUUCAGGAUGAAAAAUCUUUUAUUCAGUUCUGCUUCCGAGAGGUCAUGAGCGAUAAACAAAUAUACCAAAAACACUUUCUGAUGC